rnacentral:tRNA from 1 species
GAAAACCUGGCCGGGAGGCUGAAUGCAUGUCCUUGCUAGAGAUGCAUGUGGGCAUGACCUUGCAUUGAGGGUUCGAGCCCCUCCGUUUUGCC